rnacentral:lncRNA from 1 species
ACGUGACCUCUCCAUAGAUUCUCAUGAUAAAGUAGCUGGCUUCUCUCAGAGAGACUUUUUUAUUACUGUUUUUAAAAAGAAUAAAACAUGCUUACAGUUCCAAAUGGUUUUCAGCACCAGGUACAUUAAACUUGAAAUAUGCACACAAAAACUUUUACUAACCAUCUCUUGAAAAUUUUCACAAUUCGCAAAUUAACUCAGAAGAAAACAUUGUUUCAGGUGUCUAUUACUGCAAAAUUAAAUACUCUAAAAUUUAGUGUCUCAAAACAAUAAUUUUUUAUCAUCUCCCAACUUCUGCAUGUUGACUGGGCUCAACUGGGACAAUUCUUACUUGGAAUCUCUCAUGCAGUUGCAGUCAGAUGGCAGCUGAGACUGGAGUCAUCUGAAGACUUGACUGAGCUGGAUGUCCAAGAUGUCAUUCACAAGCCUGGCAGCUGCUGCUGGCUAUUGGGUUGGAGCUUAGCCAGAGCUGUCAACUGAAGCUCCUCUAUGUGGCCUCUGCAUGUGGGUUCUUAGAGAGAGUGCUCCAAUAGUGAGUAUUCUUAAAGGC